rnacentral:rRNA from 1 species
CACGUAGGGUGCGAGCGUUGUCCGGAAUUAUUGGGCGUAAAGAGCUCGUAGGCGGUGUGUCGCGUCGGCCGUGAAAACCUGCAGCUUAACUGUGGGCUUGCGGUCGAUACGGGCAUCACUGGAGUUCGGCAGGGGAGACUGGAAUUCCUGGUGUAGCGGUGAAAUGCGCAGAUAUCAGGAGGAACACCGGUGGCGAAGGCGGGUCUCUGGUCUGUAACUGACGCUGAGGCGCGAAAGCGUGGGGAGCAAACAGG